GUCACCGGCUGCUGUCAGAGACAGGACGCCUGCCUUCAAUGACCAGACAGGUUGGCUGCCCUAGGAACAGCCUGUCCCUGGCACAGCUCUGGAGUCUUCAGACAAUGUAAGAGAAAGGCCCUGCCUGUUUUGCCAAGGGCUGCAUAAGAGUCCCCAGGACACUGUUUGGAGAUUUGCUAGAUUUUCUUCCUUUUACAAGAAGACAAAGUGCAACCAGGAAAGACUCGGUCACUUUGGAAACUCUGUGCCCUACGGUAUAAACCCAAACUUUCCUACACCAUCAUGGGUUUGGAUUCAGAGGGGACAGUUUGGUGCACGCAAACACAGAUUUGGCAUCAGUACCACAACCCUUCUGAAAUUAUCAUUUCUCCUGGACUUCUCUGACAUCUCUGUUCUUCAUAGGCCCUCAAGAUUGAAUUGACAUCCCUACCCUCCCUCACCAAUCCCCUGCAUUUUGGGACUCCUAAAAUAUGGGCUUCUGAAGAGAAAAGAAGCUGCUCCGUUGACAACAGAAUCUUCUGGUAUUGCGCAAGGAGUAGCAUUAGGGGAAAAGCCAGCAGUGAUGAACCACCACUACUUUUAGACCAGCAAGUGCACGAGAUCCUGCCAUUCACAAAACCACAGUGGUGUCACUAGAGCAAUGGAUGUUUCAGACGUGGUAACCCAUGAACCAAGGCAAAAUUCUCCUUCAAACAACAUCCCUUGACAGUCUUAACUGGCAGCCAAACUGCAUUCGAGGAUCCAGGGAUUUCUGUAGCUCAAGGAGCAGGACCCACUGGAGGGAAGUCACCAGUCAUUGUGUUACAGGAUGUGGAUAGGAGCUGCAGUAACCCCCUGA